ACAUGCAAGUCGAGCGCGAAAGGCCUUCGGGUUGAGUAGAGCGGCGGACGGGUGAGUAACGCGUAGGAAUCUACCUGGUAGUGGGGGAUAACUUGGGGAAACUCAAGCUAAUACCGCAUACGCCCUAAGGGGGAAAGCGGGGGAUCCUCGGACCUCGCGCUAUUAGAUGAGCCCAAGUCGGAUUAGCUAGUUGGUAGGGUAAAGGCCUACCAAGGCGACGAUCCGUAGCUGGUCUGAGAGGAUGAUCAGCCACACUGGGACUGAGACACGGCCCAGACUCC
rnacentral:rRNA from 1 species